rnacentral:rRNA from 1 species
AUACGGAGGAUCCGAGCGUUAUCCGGAUUUAUUGGGUUUAAAGGGUGCGCAGGCGGCCAUUUAAGUCAGCGGUUAAAUCGUGGGGCUCAACCCCAUUCUGCCGUUGAUACUGGGUGGCUUGAUUGCGGUCGAGGUUGGCGGAAUUCGUUGUGUAGCGGUGAAAUGCAUAGAUAUGACGAAGAACACCGAUUGCGUAGGCAGCUGACCAGACCGCAAAUGACGCUCAUGCACGAAAGUGCGGGGAUCGAACAGGAUUAGAUACCCUGGUAGUCCGCACAGUAAACGAUGAAUACUUGUUUUCGGCGAUAUAAUGUCGGAGGCAAAGCGAAAGCGAUAAGUAUUCCACCUGGGGAGUACGCCGGCAACGGUGAAACUCAAAUGAAUUGGCGGG